UGAUAAUUAGUUUAACAAAAAAUAAAUGAUUUCGACUCAUUAGAUUAUGAUCCAAUCCAUAAUUAUCAA
rnacentral:tRNA from 1 species